rnacentral:rRNA from 1 species
UACGUAGGGUGCAAGCGUUGUCCGGAAUUAUUGGGGCGUAAAGAGCUCGUAGGCGGUUUGUUGCGUCGGCUGUGAAAUCCCGAGGCUCAACCUCGGGUCUGCAGUCGAUACGAGCAAACUAGAGUGUUGCAGGGGAGACUGGGAAUUCCUGGUGUAGCGGUGAAAUGCGUCAGAUAUCAGGAGGAACACCGGUGGCGAAGGCGGGCUC